ACCUCCCUUGUUGGUUGUUUACAAAUGAGUACAAGUAGACAACUAUUUUAAAAGGAAAAGUUUUAAACCAUUACUUGACCUAAUUACAUUUCCAUAAUGCAGAUUUUGUACAUAAAAUACACACGUUAAGAAAAAACCCCACGUUUAUAAAGAAACGUUUCACUUGAUGCACUCAUGAAGCAGAACUCUACGCGAGGCGAUUGUCAAGAGCCAUCAAGGUGUGGGAAAGAAAUGUUUUUUUUUUCGUUUUGGUGAUCGAAUCUUAGCUUAGAGAAGAUUG
rnacentral:misc_RNA from 1 species